UGGAGUAAAAAUGAAAAAGACAACACAGGCUAGGUGUGGACCAUGGGUCCUUAAUGUAAUGUGUAUGGGCCUGGGCUCAAUCCCAGUAACUCUCUCUCUCUCACACACACACACACACACACACACACACACACCAUGAGUAAGACUGACAGCAGCUAGUUGAUGUGAUGGGGACAGGAGGGAUGGAUGUGCCACUUUCAGAAUCUAUAUUGGAAGGACACUCCUGUGCUCUAUGGCAAAGCACCAGCAUGUAUGUCACAUUAGCAGCACACACAUACUGUGCUGGUUUGCUUGUUCUGAGUCAAAUCUCAGUUAGCCCAGAUGCCUCUGUAACAAGCCUGAUACCAGCACCUAACGACGACUCAAUGUUUCUAUAAGUGCCAAGCCCAUAUCUACAGAAAGAGGGAAGAAUGUGGGAAUGACAGCAAGAGAAGCCCAGACAUCACUUGCAGCAUUGAAGAUGAUUUACCUCCUGCCCCUCCUUCUCAGAAUGACUCUGAGUACGUGUUACACCACAAGGACUAAACUGAAAAGGCAGAAGACAAGCUGGGCAGGAAGUCCCAGGGAAAGAUGAAGGAGAGUGCUGCUUGAAAAGAUGACUCUUUGGAGCUAAGCUACCGACAUCAAAAGUCUUCAGCUUUAAUACGGUCUGGUCACCGCAACUCACUCACUCCUGGAGUCCCACGGAGAUCCUGUCUCGUGCCGAGAGACCGAGUCCACCAACUCGGACACCUGCACCACCCACUGAGCUCCAGCUGAACCCAAAGCAGAAGGACACUUGAAGAACCUUACCCGUGCCACCAUCGACCCAGGCUAUGGCAUCAGGCCAGACCGGAGGCAUGGGCCCACUCUUGAAGACAGGAAGCCAUCAAUGCCAGGAAGUGCCUUUUAUGUUAAAUAUGUGAAUCUGUCUUAGGAGAGAAUGCUUUACUGAGACCAGAGACGUGUAUUUUUCUGAAAGCAGCCUGGUAAAAGGGCAUGUGAUGUUUUGCUGGAGUGGACGCUUGAGAGGACCCGUGAUGUUUGGAAAGAGUAGAGAAACACACGAAAUAACUUCUGGAUGUGUUCUGCUUCUUGCUGCUUUGGCGGACGUAUGCUGAUUGGUGGAGCCUCAAGGAUUCUUCUGGAUCAAGCCGCUGCUGCUGAAUCAAGUGAACUGGACAAUGAAGAUCAGAAUUGCUUCAAAGAUCUACUUCUAAACAGGCCCAUGAUCCCCUUGUUCUAUUAGCUCCCUAUCUUUGACUGGUGGGCUAUAAGGGAGGUGAAGCAUGUAAGA